GCAGAGGGGGCUUAGUGGUGGGGUGACUGCGUACCUUUUGUAUAAUGGGUCAGCGACUUAUAUUCUGUAGCAAGGUUAACCGAAUAGGGGAGCCGGAGGGAAACCGAGUCUUAAUUGGGCGUUAAGUUGCAGGGUAUAGACCCGAAACCCGGUGAUCUAGCCAUGGGCAGGUUGAAGGUUGGGUAACACUAACUGGAGGACCGAACCGACUAAUGUUGAAAAAUUAGCGGAUGACCUGUGGCUGGGGGUGAAAGGCCAAUCAAACCGGGAGAUAGCUGGUUCUCCCCGAAAGCUAUUUAGGUAGCGCCUCGUGAAUUCAUCUCCGGGGGUAGAGCACUGUUUCGGCUAGGGGGCCAUCCCGGCUUACCAACCCGAUGCAAACUGCGAAUACCGGAGAAUGUUAUCACGGGAGACACACGGCGGGUGCUAACGUCCGUCGUGAAGAGGGAAACAACCCAGACCGCCAGCUAAGGUCCCAAAGUCAUGGUUAAGUGGGAAACGAUGUGGGAAGGCCCAGACAGCCAGGAUGUUGGCUUAGAAGCAGCCAUCAUUUAAAGAAAGCGUAAUAGCUCACUGGUCGAGUCGGCCUGCGCGGAAGAUGUAACGGGGCUAAACCAUGCACCGAAGCUGCGGCAGCGAACGUAUCACCCAAGACAACUUUACGGAGUUGACGAUUGACGGAGCGAAGCGACGUCAAAGCGUUCAUUAAAGUCGAGUUGGCUUAGGGAUACGUUCGUUGGGUAGGGGAGCGUUCUGUAAGCCUGUGAAGGUGUGUCGUGAGGCAUGCUGGAGGUAUCAGAAGUGCGAAUGCUGACAUAAGUAACGAUAAAGCGGGUGAAAAGCCCGCUCGCCGGAAGACCAAGGGUUCCUGUCCAACGUUAAUCGGGGCAGGGUGAGUCGACCCCUAAGGCGAGGCCGAAAGGCGUAGUCGAUGGGAAACGGGUUAAUAUUCCCGUACUUGGUGUUACUGCGAAGGGGGGACGGAGAAGGCUAUGUUGGCCGGGCGACGGUUGUCCCGGUUUAAGCGUGUAGGUGUGUGUUCCAGGUAAAUCCGGUUCACUUUAACACUGAGGCGUGACGACGAGGCACUACGGUGCUGAAGCAACAAAUGCCCUGCUUCCAGGAAAAGCCUCUAAGCAUCAGGUAACAUCAAAUCGUACCCCAAACCGACACAGGUGGUCAGGUAGAGAAUACCAAGGCGCUUGAGAGAACUCGGGUGAAGGAACUAGGCAAAAUGGUGCCGUAACUUCGGGAGAAGGCACGCUGACACGUAGGUGAAGUGAUUUACUCAUGGAGCUGAAGUCAGUCGAAGAUACCAGCUGGCUGCAACUGUUUAUUAAAAACACAGCACUGUGCAAACACGAAAGUGGACGUAUACGGUGUGACGCCUGCCCGGUGCCGGAAGGUUAAUUGAUGGGGUCAGCGCAAGCGAAGCUCCUGAUCGAAGCCCCGGUAAACGGCGGCCGUAACUAUAACGGUCCUAAGGUAGCGAAAUUCCUUGUCGGGUAAGUUCCGACCUGCACGAAUGGCGUAAUGAUGGCCAGGCUGUCUCCACCCGAGACUCAGUGAAAUUGAACUCGCUGUGAAGAUGCAGUGUACCCGCGGCAAGACGGAAAGACCCCGUGAACCUUUACUAUAGCUUGACACUGAACAUUGAGCCUUGAUGUGUAGGAUAGGUGGGAGGCUUUGAAGUGUGGACGCCAGUCUGCAUGGAGCCGACCUUGAAAUACCACCCUUUAAUGUUUGAUGUUCUAACGUGGACCCGUAAUCCGGGUUGCGGACAGUGUCUGGUGGGUAGUUUGACUGGGGCGGUCUCCUCCUAAAGAGUAACGGAGGAGCACGAAGGUUGGCUAAUCCUGGUCGGACAUCAGGAGGUUAGUGCAAUGGCAUAAGCCAGCUUGACUGCGAGCGUGACGGCGCGAGCAGGUGCGAAAGCAGGUCAUAGUGAUCCGGUGGUUCUGAAUGGAAGGGCCAUCGCUCAACGGAUAAAAGGUACUCCGGGGAUAACAGGCUGAUACCGCCCAAGAGUUCAUAUCGACGGCGGUGUUUGGCACCUCGAUGUCGGCUCAUCACAUCCUGGGGCUGAAGUAGGUCCCAAGGGUAUGGCUGUUCGCCAUUUAAAGUGGUACGCGAGCUGGGUUUAGAACGUCGUGAGACAGUUCGGUCCCUAUCUGCCGUGGGCGCUGGAGAACUGAGGGGGGCUGCUCCUAGUACGAGAGGACCGGAGUGGACGCAUCACUGGUGUUCGGGUUGUCAUGCCAAUGGCACUGCCCGGUAGCUAAAUGCGGAAGAGAUAAGUGCUGAAAGCAUCUAAGCACGAAACUUGCCCCGA
rnacentral:rRNA from 1 species